AUUGAACGCUGGCGGCAGGCCUAACACAUGCAAGUCGAGCGGAUGAAGGGAGCUUGCUCCUGGAUUCAGCGGCGGACGGGUGAGUAAUGCCUAGGAAUCUGCCUGGUAGUGGGGGAUAACGUCCGGAAACGGGCGCUAAUCUCGCAUACGUCCUGAGGGAGAAAGUGGGGGAUCUUCGGACAUCACGCUAUCAGAUGUGCCUAGGUCGGAUUAGCUAGUUGGUGAGGUAAAGGCCUACCAAGGCGACGAUCCGUAACUGGUCUGAGAGGAUGAUCAGUCACACUGGAACUGAGACACGGUCCAGACUCCUACGGGAGGCAGCAGUGGGGAAUAUUGGACAAAGGGCGAAAGCCUGAUCCAGCCAUGCCGCGUGUGUGAAGAAGGUCUUCGGAUUGUAAAGCACUGUAAGUUGGGAGGAAGGGCAGUAAGUGAAUACCUUGCUGUUUUGACGUUACCAACAGAAUAAGCACCGGCUAACUACGUG
rnacentral:rRNA from 1 species